rnacentral:rRNA from 1 species
UACGUAGGGGGCAAGCGUUGUCCGGAUUUAUUGGGCGUAAAGAGCUCGUAGGCGGUUCCGUAAGUCGUGAAGUCAAAUCUCUGGGCUCAACCCAGAAUCGCUUCCGAUACUGCGGUGACUGGAGUCCGGUAGGGGAGUGUGGAAUUCCUGGUGUAGCGGUGAAAUGCGCAGAUAUCAGGAGGAACACCGAUGGCGAAGGCAGCCCCCUGGGCUGAGAUUGACGCUCAGGCACGAAAGCGUGGGGAGCAAACAGG